GAUGAACGCUGGCUACAGGCUUAACACAUGCAAGUCGAGGGGAAACGACGGGGAAGCUUGCUUCCCCGGGCGUCGACCGGCGCACGGGUGAGUAACGCGUAUCCAACCUGCCUCUGACUGAGGGAUAACCCGUCGAAGGUCGGCCUAAUACCUCAUGGCAUCGUCUGCGGGCAUCCAACGACGAUUAAAGAUUUCAUCGGUCAGGGAUGGGGAUGCGUCUGAUUAGCUUGUUGGCGGGGUAACGGCCCACCAAGGCUACGAUCAGUAGGGGUUCUGAGAGGAAGGUCCCCCACAUUGGAACUGAGACACGGUCCAAACUCCUACGGGAGGCAGCAGUGAGGAAUAUUGGUCAAUGGGCGAGAGCCUGAACCAGCCAAGUAGCGUGCAGGAAGACGGCCCUAUGGGUUGUAAACUGCUUUUAUGCGGGGAUAAAGUGAGGGACGUGUCCUUCAUUGCAGGUACCGCAUGAAUAAGGACCGGCUAAUUCCGUGCCAGCAGCCGCGGUAAUACGGAAGGUCCGGGCGUUAUCCGGAUUUAUUGGGUUUAAAGGGAGCGUAGGCCGUGGAUUAAGCGUGUUGUGAAAUGCAGGUGCUCAACGUCUGCACUGCAGCGCGAACUGGUCCACUAGAGUGUGCGCAACGCAGGCGGAAUUCGUCGUGUAGCGGUGAAAUGCUUAGAUAUGACGAAGAACUCCGAUUGCGAAGGCAGCUUGCGGGAGCACAACUGACGCUGAAGCUCGAAAGUGCGGGUAUCGAACAGG
rnacentral:rRNA from 1 species